rnacentral:rRNA from 1 species
ACGCUCGACACCUACGUGAGGCAGCAGUGGGGAAUAUUGCACAAUGGGGGAAACCCUGAUGCAGCGACGCCGCGUGAGCGAAGAAGUAUUUCGGUAUGUAAAGCUCUAUCAGCAGGGAAGAAACUGACGGUACCUGACUAAGAAGCACCGGCUAAAUACGCGCCAGCAGCCGCGGUAAUCUGAGGCGGGCUGGCAAGGC